rnacentral:tRNA from 1 species
GCCGGGGUGGCCGAGUGGCGAGGCAACGGGCUGCAGACCCGUUAUACAGGGGUUCAAAUCCCCUCCCCGGCU